rnacentral:rRNA from 1 species
AUGAGGAGACUAAUUAAGUCAGCUAGGACCAAUGACAAUCUAGAGAGUUCCUUUCCAAUUCACAACCUGACAGAAGAGAAGAAGAAACUACAGGAGAACUAUGACAGUUUGUAUGCUGAUGUGAAUGCUCUUCUGAAUGCCCAGCAGGAGAGGAGUGUGGAGUUAACCAAUCAAAAGGAGCAGAAGAAAUAUCUUGAAGUGAAGAUUGCUGAGCUUGAAACUGUAGUUGGCAACUUGAAGGCAGAGUUGUCAAAGAAAGAGGAGGAGAAGAAGAAACUACAGGAGAACUAUGACAAUUUGUAUGCUGAUGUGAAUUCUCUCUUGGAUGUCCAGCAGCAGAGGGGUGUGGAGUUAAACAAUCAGAAGGAGCAGAAGGAAUAUGUUGAUGUGAAGAUUGUUGAGCUUGAGACUGUAGUGGGGAACUUGAAGGCAGAGCUGUCAAAGACAGAGGAGGAGAAGAAGAAGAUGCUACUAAACUAUGAAACUCUGAAGAACCUGACAUGUGCUCAAGUCAAUGUGAUUAGGAACUUGAAGUUCAAUCAUUUGAAGGAGAUGGAGAGGCUCACAGAAGAGAGGCUUCAACUGCAGUAUCACAUUUCUGAGCUUCAAAAGUCUAAGGAAAAGAUAAAGUUGAAGCUUCAGGGUGUGAAGGCCAUCUUAGAUGAGUAG